GCCUGGGUGGCUCAGUCGGUUGAGCUUCUGACUUGUGCUCAGGUCAUGAUCUAAUGGUUCAUGGGUUCGAGUCCCACUCAGACA
rnacentral:tRNA from 1 species